GAAAACAGUGUGAGGAGCUCAAAAAAUGUGAAUUUAUAUAUCCACUCCAACCUAAAAUUCUCCCAUGGUAAUCAGACCUUUUAAGCUGCACACAUAUGACUAGAAAAAGACAACUGAUUAUGAAGCACAGCAAACAUUUCCUUCUUUUUUGACUUUUGCUCCUAAUUCUUCAAACCGUAAACUUGGUAGGCAUUUCUGUGCAUAUUUACUUAAUGUUUAUCCUUUUCUCUCUCAAAGCCCUUGCUUCUUCUGCUGUUCUUUUCUGGUCAGGUGACAAAACUUUGGCACCAUAUAUUGAAUUGUGUUAGUGAUCCUACUAAUAUUAAUUUGAGAAAUCCAAUCAGGAAAGAGAGCAGCGUGCUUCCUUCAGUGGAGAGGAUACCAUAUGGAAGGAAUUUUGAGGUAGACCAUUACGUUAAAAAAGCAAAGCCAAAAACAAAACAGUGGAGGCAGGGGUAAGAAAUAACUAUCCUGUUUCCUACUUUGCCCUCUCUUAGGGAAACUUACUUCUACAAGAAAGAUUUUGUAGCUUCAAGUUCGUGAACUUCUGUUUAAGAAUGUCAUUGAUUUCUACUCAGUAUAUUUAAGUACAUUAAGAGAAAGAACACAAAAUGCAACCAUCAUUUACUGGGUCGCCAAAAGAUCAUGUAGAAUAAAUAAACAAUAAAUCAGCCCAACUCAACUCGAAGUUGCUAAGCAAGCACUCUUUAUCUGUGUUAGAGACUUUGAUAUAAGCAGUUUCCAUUACCUGAAUACCCCAAGGAUCGGGAGUCCUUUCUGCAUAGCCAAACUUCUCUUCAUAAGGAGGACCGCUCCUGCACCAUCACUUACCUGGCUAGCAUUUCCUAAGAAACAAAUUGGAACACAACUUUUAUUCAAAUUGCUUGAUUGUUCUUGUCAGAGAAAAAAGUUUCACAAAUUUCAUGAUCAUAUACCAGCAGUCGUGGCCCCAUCCUUUCUAAAUGCAGGCUUCAACUUUGCUAGAUCUGCCAUGUUUGUGUUUGGGCGGAUUCCAUCAUCCACCACAAUUGUGACUGGCUUCUCUUCUCCAGUUUUGGGAUCCACAAUCUUUGCAGAUUAACAUAGGUUAAUGAAAUGUCAUAAAAAUUCUAGACCAGAAUAGUUUUCCACACAAAGUUACCUUAGUAGAUACAGGGAUAAUUUCAUCUUUGAAUUUACCAGAGGCUGUUGCAGCAGCAGCACGCCUAUGAGAUUCAACCUAUGUUUACAAAUUUAAGACAUUCAGACUAAUAAAGAUUAUGUUUGCAUCAGCAGAUAAAAAGUACAUUGAACAAUUCACAGUACUAACAGCAGCCUGGUCUUGCUCUUGCCGUGUCACACCAUAGCGCUGUGCAACAUUUUCAGAAGUAAUGCCCAUAGGAAGAAGACAAUCCCUGGCCUGGGCAAAGCUCUCUACCUGUAAAUAUAAAUUUAGUUGCAUAUUAAUACGUCAAUAGAAAACAUAUCCUAAACAGUUAAUACAAAGUAGAUGUUCAAGAUACCUGUGGGUUAACUUUGCUAACCCCAGGAACAACUUUAUCAGUUGUCAUGCUCUCUAAUCCAGCAGCAAUGCCUACAUUGAAAACCAAGAAGGUUAAUACCAAGGUCGUGAAGGUCAAUCUCAUAUAUUCCAGAAUAAAUCUUCCUCAGCAAUCAGAUAUAUAGUUAAGAUCAAAUAUCUUUACCGAUAUCAUAUAAUCCUGCUUUUAUGCAAAGAGCAACAUCGGCAACUGCUUGUAGGCCAGAUGAACAUUGCCUGUUGACAGUCUUAAUAGGCACUGUAUCUGGUUGAAACAGGUAAUUGCAUUAGCCAUAUGUAUAUACAAAGGAACUGUAAAAAAAUGAAACCAACAGUUUAGAAUUCGAUUCAAGCCUUCCAAUUUAUAUUUCUAUUAUCAACAUAGCAAAAAUCUUGGUGAUGACUCCAAUUCAGUAUGCCAAAAGCAAUUAACAAGUAAAUAAUUUACAAAACAACAAACAGUUCAAGUCUCCAUAAAGAAAAGAAACUAUUAAAGGGUCCAAGAGUAAGAAAUUUGAAAGAAUAAGUAUACCAGGGAAACCAGCAUAGAAUGCAGCCAUCCUACACUCUAUUCCUCUUUGUGAGCCAGGUGCCAAAACUGUUCCGACAACUAUAUCCCCCACUUCACUUGGGUUCAACUUUGUUCUGUCUAUCAAAGCCUGCAUUGAGAAUUAACUAAAGAUAGGAGGCAAAACAAAUAUGAUUUCAAGGACAACUUAAUAUAUAAAAAACCAAAGCAUCUAACCUUCAAUACAGGGGCAAGUAAAUCAUCUGCGGGUGUAUCCUUGAAGCCUCCACGCUUUGCCUUGCAAAUUGCAGUGCGGCAUGCCCUGUGAAACAACGUUUUGCCCCCUCUUUGAUUACAAUAUCAAAGCUUUUCAUGCAUAACAAAAUAUAUUUAUUUUCCUUGCGCAUACAGUACUUGAAAAACCUUUUACUGCUCGAAUUGGAUGGGUGGUUACAUUAUAACCCCUAAAUACUAAUCAUGCUAUGAUUUUUGUCACUUAAAUUUAGCUCAAAUAGCAAAUAUCCAUCGGAGCUUCGGUAGGGAUCUAAAUUCGAGUUCGUGAUCCUUGCUAUCUUUCUUUCAGCACAAAAUAUACUUGUUAAGCAAAAAAUACUUAUACCAAAGAUUUUUAAAAAAAGAAAAAACUUACGCCACAAUCACAACAUCAUUGGCAAAAGCAGCCGUCCGGUGAUAAGCAGAACCAUCCCCAGCAGCACAAAUUGAAGGCUGAUCAAAUGAAAACAACACACUUUCUCAAAAAAAAAAAGAAAGAAAGAAAGUAAUCUUAAGAAGAAAAAAUGUAACAAAGUGGGUCAUGCUUACAAAGAGAGCAGCAGCAGCAGCAGAGUCAAAGGAUUGAUGAGAAGAAGAAGAAGAGGGUCGUAAAUGAUGAAGCAAAAUUCUCUGUCUGUUGAGUGCUUUCUCCAUGUGUAUAUCUUUUCUCUCUUUCACCUGUUUCCGCUCUCUUCAAUGGUUAC
rnacentral:lncRNA from 1 species